ensembl:lncRNA
UAAUACCUUGAGUGCUUGUUUGGCCAGAAUAUCAACUUGCUCAUUUCCCUUCCCACCAACAUGAGCAGGAACCCAGAUAAAACAUGUAAAUAUGCCCUUCAUUUGCAGUCUGUACAUUAUAAAAAAUAUUUCAUUGAUUAGACCCAUUCUAAAAGACGACCGUCCUGAUCUAAUGCUGGAUAGAGCAGAAAAACUGUCAGAAGCAAUAACUCUUGGGUACCUCCAUCUCCUCUAUCCACUGUAAUGCCAAUAUCCCUGCCACAGCUCUGUGGUGUAUACAGAUACAUGGUCCGAAACCCUUUUCUGCGGCCGUAUUUCUCACGUCCCAGCAGCCAAUGCUGCGUCUAUGAUAUAGGAUGUUUAUAGUUGAAAAUUAUAAACAGAUUGUAUCCAUCGCAUUUUAUAUUGAUUUAGUUUUACAAUUGGGCAGUGGGUGAGGGAUGGUUUUUUGGUUCAUUAAUCUUCCAGUACCAAUGAGGCCUCAGAUACUUCCAGGACUCAUCUUUAAUAUUGUCCUUCCUAGUUUAAACUGAAAUCAAUUAUUGCGUCCACUUCCUUGACCAUUGACAAGUAGUUUUGAGUGCUUGAUUAUUCAGCCAAUUUGUCCAAAUACAAUGAGUCAGGUAUGGUAAUUAUAUUUCAGUCCUUCAUUUUCUGAACUAUACAAUCAGCUUUUGACAUGAACGCUUGCCAGUGAUUAAUUGAGCGAUGGAUUUAUACUUCACAUGAACUCUAGCAUGUCCCGUCACUCAAUUGAAAUGGUACCCAUGCUCCUAGUUAUUGGUUAACCUAGCCAAUAGCCAUAAGUUCUUGGCACUUUCUGUGAGCAUCCUUACUGUAGACACUUUACUGACAAAUGCAACAAGUUGCUCUGGAUAGAAUUGAAACGCAAUUAUUCUCCGUGAGCCAAACUCUUGACUGGGGCUUAUUUGUCGAAUGAGCAAGUAUCACACAGAUUCAGUUAUGUGGUAACCAAAGUUUAUUAUGGCGUUAAAAACAGCUUUGGUUCUGGUGUUAAAAGAUUGGUUCGUCCCGCAGAGAUCCACAUCUCACCGCUUCACCACACAGGACAGGAACAGCUGCUGGGAGAGGGCGUCUACUUUGACCUCUGCCUCAUCUUCCUCCUCUUACGCUUCAGUCUGUUGGAAACACGAAACUGGUUAGAAACUGGACACAAGAUCCCAGAUUAGUUUUUCUGCCCUUAAAGCAGUACACUAUGUACCAGGGAGCACCACCCUUUGAGGAGUGCCUUACUCAGUAGGGUCUUAGUAAGAUACAGCACUAGAUAUGCGUGUUGCCGUCAUGCAUCAGGGAUAAAAGCUUUAUCUAUUUUUUUACACUAGUUUCUACUAUACAUGUCCUGCAACAGACUUUUACAAUUGUAACAAGGUCCCGCUUUAAGCAGAGCAACAGGCCAUGUCCAUGAAAGACCAAACUGUAGCAAUCAUAGAACCAGCCACUGAUUGGUUAACAUGGACACCUGCUACCACUAGCCUCAUGGCUGCAGGCCACUUGACAGUCCACGCCUAGGCAUGAGCUUGACAGGUUGCGGCAAUCCUGAAUCAAUAGUCGCUGUUCAGGGUCCCGUUUAGACUACUCUGGCUGAGCAUGAUGCAUGUUAAGGACUGAACUUUGUAAUCAAUGCUAAUGGGAACCCAGUGAUGCCGAGUUAUAAUCAGGCCCCAUUAUUCAGACAAGCAUUUUCUAACAAUUGACAAAUCAAGUGUUCUGGUUUGAAUGGUAUUCUUACCUGCGCAUGCGCUUCUUCCUCCACUGAAAAACAAAAACAGCACACGUUAGGCAUCACCCCGUGAAGACAAGCUAUAGUAACAGUGUUAAAGACAAGUGUUAUUGUGUCUUUAAACAAGAUCUUAUGGACAGGCCGUGUGAUUAAGAAAUGUUCACAACACCGUGUUAUAGGCAAGUUAUAGUAAGUUACUAUAACAUAACAUAUCACAUGACUCCCUAUCACUGUUACAGUAAGAGGGAGUGAUGUUAUGGACAUACAGUGUUAUGGAGCAGAAAUCCUCUGCCGCCUAUGGCCAACGAAAACCUUUAAUAUAAAAUCUUAAAUGUACGCCUCAAACAACAGGGUGCAUUGAGGUCCUGCAUGUGAUGUUGGUAUGAGCUAUCUGAAGCUAACAGUUAGCCUAAAGCAGCGAGGCGGGCCCAGUGCAACCACAACGGGUAGCUUCAUAUUAACAUGAAUAAAACAGGUUAGUUCAAAGAUAUGCACAGGUAUUAAUAAUGUUAAAAGGCUCAUUCUGACCGUCGGCUAUGUUAAGCAAAUAAAAGUAAUACUAAUACGCCAUUCGUAACUAGUAAAAGGGGAGGCAGCGGUACCCUGAUGACUGCAGGGUCCAUUGUCAGGAACCAUUUUAAGGACGACCGAAAAAAAACAAUUUAUUUUAUUUGGCUUACCUUGGCUCUCAUCGUGUGGAGAUAAGUCUAUAGAAGGAAGAGGAAAAGGUGAUUAGAUACUGCAGAUGACAAUUAGAAUUGGUUGAUUAAGUUGGAUUCUGUUGCGGCUCGGGAGCCAUUUCGGCACGUACCUCUGAGCGAGGAGAGCAGCCGAAAGAGGAUGAUACAGCGGGAGAGGGCGCUAUUUAUGCGGAAACGGUCACCGUAUCUACACGCCCAUUUACCCUCAGUCGUAGGGAAAUGUAGUUCAACGUCUGGUUCAGCGUGGAUGCUCUGCGAUGAAACGUUCUGCCGCGUUUUGGAAGAGCUAGAUUAAUUGGAAAUGUUUACUAAAUCGUUGGCAUGGAAAUGACAAUUACACCUCUCGAUUGACAUACAAGCCUAAAUGAAUUAAAGGAUAACUUAAAUUAUAUGAAAUAAUGGGGUCGCACUGGAGUUUGGGAUGUGAGGUUGGUAGUACUAGGCUAAUGUAUUAUUUUG